GGGACAACAGUUGGAAACGACUGCUAAUACCGCAUAAGCCCACGGGUCGGCAUCGACCAGAGGGAAAAGGAGCAAUCCGCUUUGAGAUGGCCUCGCGUCCGAUUAGCUAGUUGGUGAGGUAAUGGCCCACCAAGGCGACGAUCGGUAGCCGGACUGAGAGGUUGAACGGCCACAUUGGGACUGAGACACGGCCCAGACUCCUACGGGAGGCAGCAGUGGGGAAUAUUGCACAAUGGGGGAAACCCUGAUGCAGCGACGCCGCGUGGAGGAAGAAGGUCUUCGGAUUGUAAACUCCUGUUGUUGAGGAAGAUAAUGACGGUACUCAACAAGGAAGUGACGGCUAACUACGUGCCAGCAGCCGCGGUAAAACGUAGGUCACAAGCGUUGUCCGGAAUUACUGGGUGUAAAGGGAGCGCAGGCGGGAAGACAAGUUGGAAGUGAAAUCUAUGGGCUCAACCCAUAAACUGCUUUCAAAACUGUUUUUCUUGAGUAGUGCAGAGGUAGGCGGAAUUCCCGGUGUAGCGGUGGAAUGCGUAGAUAUCGGGAGGAACACCAGUGGCGAAGGCGGCCUACUGGGCACCAACUGACGCUGAGGCUCGAAAGUGUGGGUAGCAAACAGGAUUAGAUACCCUGGUAGUCCACACCGUAAACGAUGAUUACUAGGUGUUGGAGGAUUGACCCCUUCAGUGCCGCAG
rnacentral:rRNA from 1 species